ACUUUGUCUUUAUGGCAAAUGUGAGAUGCAGUGUAUGGAAUGUCAAAUUUCUAGUAUGAGAAAUUAACGAUUUAAGUCCUUCUUAAAUGAGGCCAUUUACCCAUAGAGGGUGCCAGGCCCGUAUAACGUUAAUGAUUACUAGAUGGCAUUUCCAAAGAGUCGUGUUGCUUGAUAGUGCAGCACUAAGUGGGUGGUAAACUCCAUCUAAAACUAAAUAUAACCAUGAGACCGAUAGUAAACAAGUACCGUGAGGGAAAGUUGAAAAGAACUCUGAAUAGAGAGUUAAAUAGUACGUGAAACUGCUUAGAGGUUAAGCCCGAUGAACCUGAAUAUCCAUUAUAGAAAAUUCAUCAUUAUGAUUUUAAUAUUAAUAAUAUUAUAAUAAUGGUGUGCAUUUUUUCUAUAACGGACAUUGUAAUCUAUUAACAUAAAUAUAUUUAUCAUAAGAUCAAUGAUGCGUAAGUUUAUUCAAAUUAUUUUGCUUGCAAUUUAACAUAGAAUAAAUGCUCUUGAUUUGAUAAAGUGUUGAUAGAUUUAUUGUAUAUAGUGCUUAAAUAUUUAUAUUUUAUAAUAGCAUAUUAAUCAUUGAUUUUUAUGUUUAUUAUAUGCACUUAUAUGAUUAACAAUGCGAAAGAUUCAGGAUACCUUCGGGACCCGUCUUGAAACACGGACCAAGGAGUCUAACAUAUUUGCAAGUUAUUGGGUAUCAAAACCUAAUAGCGAAAUUAACAUAACUUUAAUGGGAUUAGUUUUUAGAUUAUUUAUAGUCUAUUAAUUCAAUCCCGGGGCGUUCUAUAUAGUUAUGUAUAAUAAUAUUUAUAUUAUUUAUACCUCUAACUAGAGCGUACCUUGAGCAUAUAUGCUGUGACCCGAAAGAUGGUGAACUAUACUUGAUCAGGUUGAAGUCAGGGGAAACCCUGAUGGAAGACCGAAACAGUUCUGACGUGCAAAUCGA
rnacentral:rRNA from 1 species